ACGGAGGGUGCAAGCGUUGUUCGGAAUUACUGGGCGUAAAGAGCGUGUAGGCGGUAUGAUAAGUUAGUUGUGAAAGCCCUGGGCUUAACCUUGGAAGUGGCUGGAAAAACUUUCAGCCUUGAGGUGGGGAGAGGUUAGGGGAAUUCCCAGUGUAGAGGUGAAAUUCGUAGAUCUUGGGAGGACCACCUGUGGCGAAGGCGCCUAUCUGGACCAAUACUGACGCUGAGUCGCGAAAGCGUGGGGAGCAAACAG
rnacentral:rRNA from 1 species